GGUCAAAUCAUCAUGCCCCUUAUGUCCUGGGCUACACACGUAAUACAAUGGCGCCCAACAGAGGGAAGCGAUAUCGCGAGAUGGAGCGAAUCCCCAAAAGGCGUCCCAGUUCGGAUCGCAGGCUGCAACCCGCCUGCGUGAAGUCGGAAUUGCUAGUAAUCGCGGAUCAGCAUGCCGCGGUGAAUACGUUCCCGGGCCUU
rnacentral:rRNA from 1 species